GGGGAUUUAGCUCAGCGGCAUAAGCGCCUGCCUUGCAAGCAGGUGCUCGUGAGUUCGAUCCCCG
rnacentral:tRNA from 1 species